rnacentral:lncRNA from 1 species
AUGCAUUGCAGUUCACAGCACCUGGUCACCUUUCAGACAAACCACCUUACUUACUUCCUAUUCUACAGCUGCGGAUUUCCUAUGCAUAGAAUCCUCCUCUGGGACUCACCAUACUGUGUGUGCAGGCUCCACUGGGCCCUCCAUGUUGCCUUGAGAGAUCUGAGGACUGGUGCGACAAUACUGAUACACCUGUUUCUCCUGCUGCAACUGGUAAAGUCCUUUGUCUCUGACUCAAGAGUCCCACGUCAGCAUCCAUGGAACUGCGACAGGCUUACUUAUCAACUUGUAUGGUUUUUUGUUGGAAGUUAUCCUGCUUCUGCGAUGUCAAAUUUAUUGAAAUUUGAAGCUGAAAGUAUGAUUCUGAGACAAGGACACGUACCCUUGAAAUACUACUUGGUUCGUGCUGGACAUUUAAAGGUCAUGUCAAGUAAUAUAAGCAUGAACAAAAAUACCAACUCUGAAAUUUUAAGUGCGUUUGGAGAAGGCAACUUCAUAGGGGAUUUUUAUGGUAUUCUUGUACAGACAGUACAACAAUAUCAAGAAACAUGCAACUUCCUAAGGGAAAUUACCAUAAAUUAAUUACUAUGGUUUUUCCAGUGGUCAUGUAUGGAUGUGAGAGUUGGACUGUGAAGAAAGCUGAGUGCCGAAGAAUUGAUGCUUUUGAACUGUGGUGUUGGAGAAGACUCUUGAGAGUCCCUUGGACUGCAAGGAGAUCCAACCAGUCCAUUCUAAAGGAGAUCAGUCUUGGGUGUUCAUUGGAAGGACUGAUGCUAAAGCUCAAACUCCAGUACUUUGGCCACCUCAUGUGA